GUCCGCACCGUAAACGAUGGUCACUAGUUGUCGGGGGAUUCGACCCCCUCGGUAACGACGCUAACGCAUUAAGUGACCCACCUGGGGAGUACGCUCGCAAGGGUGAAACUCAAAGGAAUUGACGGGGGCCCGCACAAGCGGUGGAGCAUGUGGUUUAAUUCGAUGCAACGCGAAGAACCUUACCUGGGCUCGAAGUGUAGUGUAAACUCGUGAAAGCGGGGUAUCCCUUCGGGGAGCGCUAUAUAGGUGCUGCAUGGCUGUCGU
rnacentral:rRNA from 1 species